AGGUUGAUACAUGCGGAAAGGUAAAAUAAAAAAAUCCAGCGCUGGGAAGGCCUGAAAACUUUGGUAAUUUUCCUUUUGACAGUGUUCAAUGAACCUGUUGAUUGUCAUGAUUUCACCAACACUUGUUCAUGCACCACAUAAUAACUUAAUUGUGGGAUUGAGGAAAUUGUGGAGAGUGCUGAUAUGUAUUGUUUAUUUUCCAGCAUGACUGUGUGUUAGAUUGCACAAAGCCACAGGACAAAGUAGUCUGUUCUAUCGGCACAACAGUCUUAAGAAGAGCAGACUGUGUUGGUCUGGUAACCAAUUAUAAACUGGAGGCAACGGUAAGUAACAUUUAUACGGUUCCAUUAAGGUUUCCUGUGCUAACAUUAUUCUUUUCCUAGGUUGUAAACUGCUGUCUUUCAUUGAUAUGCUGCCUUGCUAGACAGAAGGGAUUAGAUGUCCUUGCUGUGGAUUCCUAUGUUUUGGCAUGUUGGAGUCCACCUCACUGCCUAGACCCUUUUGAGUCACUACCAGCAGGUGCAGCACUUAAAGACUGCAUCCUUUUUCCUAUAUGGACACCGGCAC